GACGAACGCUGGCGGCGUGCUUAACACAUGCAAGUCGAACGGUGAAGCGCCUUCCUUUUUGGAGGGUGUGGAUGAGUGGCGAACGGGUGAGUAACACGUGAGUAACCUGCCCCCUUCUUCUGGAUAACCGCAUGAAAGUGUGGCUAAUACGGGAUAUUCUGGGUCUGUCGCAUGAUGGGUCUGGGAAAGAUAUUGUUUCGGUGGGGGAUGGGCUCGCGGCCUAUUAGCUUGUUGGUGGGGUGAUGGCCUACCAAGGCGGCGACGGGUAGCCGGCCUGAGAGGGUGGACGGUCACACUGGGACUGAGACACGGCCCAGACUCGUACGGGAGGCAGCAGUGGGGAAUAUUGCACAAUGGGCGCAAGCCUGAUGCAGCGACGCCGCGUGAGGGAUGGAGGCCUGCGGGUUGUGAACCUCUUUCGCCAGUGAAGCAGGCCUGCCUCGUUUGUGGGUGGGUUGACGGUAGCUGGAUAAGAAGCGCCGGCUAACUACGUG
rnacentral:rRNA from 1 species